rnacentral:rRNA from 1 species
AGCUCCAAUAGCGUAUAUUAAAGUUGUUGCAGUUAAAAAGCUCGUAGUUGGAUUUGUGGCUUAUGCGUGCGGCCCGCAUUCGUGCGGUGUUUGCUAGCGUGGCCAUCCUUGGGUGGAACCUGUGUGGCAUUAGGUUGUCGUGCAGGGGAUGCCCAUCGUUUACUGUGAAAAAAUUAGAGUGUUCAAAGCAGGCUUACGCCGUUGAAUAUAUUAGCAUGGAAUAAUAAGAUAGGACCUUGGUACUAUUUUGUUGGUUUGCGCACCAAGGUAAUGAUUAAUAGGGACAGUUGGGGGUAUUCGUAUUCCAUUGUCAGAGGUGAAAUUCUUGGAUUUUUGGAAGACGAACUACUGCGAAAGCAUUUACCAAGGAUGUUUUCAUUAAUCAAGAACGAAAGUACGC